rnacentral:rRNA from 1 species
UACUUCGGUGGUGCUGGCGACCGGCGCACGGGUGAGUUCCGCGUUUGUAACCUACCUCUAACUGGGGCAUAGCUCCCGGAAACGGGAAUUAAUUCCCCAUAAUAUUUAAACAUGGCAUCAUGUUUUCAUUAAAGCUCCGGCGGUUAGGGAUGGGCAUGCGUGACAUUAGCUUGUUGGNAAGGUAACGGCUUACCAAGGCUACGAUGUCUCGGGGGUCUGAGAGGAUGAUCCCCCACACUGGUACUGAGACACGGACCAGACUCCUACGGGAGGCAGCAGUGAGGAAUAUUGGGCAAUGGACGCAAGUCUGACCCAGCCAUGCCGCGUGCAGGAUGACGGCUCUAUGAGUUGUAAACUGCUUUUGUUAAGGAAGAAACCCUCUGACGUGUCAGAGGUUGACGGUACUUUACGAAUAAGCAUCGGCUAACUCCGUGCCAGCAGCCGCGGUAAUACGGAGGAUGCAAGCGUUAUCCGGAUUUAUUGGGUUUAAAGGGUGCGUAGGCGGGACUAUUAGUCAGUGGUGAAA